rnacentral:rRNA from 1 species
GAAUCUUAUCGAAAGAUAGGACUGUCCUUCGGGGAAUUUUGAUACAGGUGCUGCAUGGCUGUCGUCAGCUCGUGUUGAGAGAUGUUGGGUUAAGUCCCGCAACGAGCGCAACCCCUGUCCUUAGUUGCCACCAGUUCGGCUGGGCACUCUAAGGAGACUGCCGGGGUCAACCCGGAGGAAGGUGGGGAUGACGUCAAGUCCUCAUGGCCCUUAUGUCUGGGGCUACACACGUGCUACAAUGGUCGGUACAAAGCGCUGCGAACCCGCGAGGGGGAGCCAAUCGCAAAAAGCCGGCCUCAGUACGGAUUGCAGUCUGCAACUCGACUGCAUGAAGGCGGAAUCGCUAGUAAUCGCUGAUCAGCAGGCAGCGGUGAAUACGUUCCCGGGCCUUGUACACACC